UCUUCUUCUGCAGAAAUCGCAGAAUCAUUCCACCAUUAUAAUCGUCAAAACUUUCAACUUUUUUUAAAUGCCCUUCAAGUCUAAUGUUUAAAUACACACAUGACCUAACUCGAAACAAACGCAUGACCUAACUCAAAACCCUCAUCUCUCUCUUCUCCAUCUCCUUCUCUUACAAGGCCGAACCUCCGUCGUCAUCUGGUAGCUGCCGCCGCUGCCCCAAACCGCCACAGCCGCCAAUUCUGCCGUUGAAAGCUCCGCCGCAACCCUGAUCCAUCGCUGCCUCCCAAUCUCCGCCGCAGCCGCCCAGAGAUCCGUCGCCUCCCCGUACAUGCACCGUCUCCCCUUAGCCGCCGCUUCCGCCUCGGAUCUGCCGCCUACAGGUUAGAGAAUCGCCAAAA
rnacentral:lncRNA from 1 species